GAUGAACGCUGGCGGCGUGCCUAAUACAUGCAAGUCGAGCGAACGGACGAGAAGCUUGCUUCUCUGAUGUUAGCGGCGGACGGGUGAGUAACACGUGGAUAACCUACCUAUAAGACUGGGAUAACUUCGGGAAACCGGAGCUAAUACCGGAUAAUAUUUUGAACCGCAUGGUUCAAAAGUGAAAGACGGUCUUGCUGUCACUUAUAGAUGGAUCCACGCUGCAUUAGCUAGUUGGUAAGGUAACGGCUUACCAAGGCAACGAUGCAUAGCCGACCUGAGAGGGUGAUCGGCCACACUGGAACUGAGACACGGUCCAGACUCCUACGGGAGGCAGCAGUAGGGAAUCUUCCGCAAUGGGCGAAAGCCUGACGGAGCAACGCCGCGUGAGUGAUGAAGGUCUUCGGGUCGUAAAACUCUGUUAUUAGGGAAGAACAUAUGUGUAAGUAACUGUGCACAUCUUGACGGUACCUAAUCAAAAAGCCACGGCUAACUACGUG
rnacentral:rRNA from 1 species